rnacentral:rRNA from 1 species
AGUGAACGCUGGCGGCAGGCCUAACACAUGCAAGUCGAACGGCAGCACAGUAAGAGCUUGCUUUUACGGGUGGCGAGGGGCGGACGGGUGAGGAAUACAUCGGAAUCUACUUUUUCGUGGGGGAUAACGUAGGGAAACUUACGCUAAUACCGCAUACGACCUACGGGUGAAAGCAGGGGAUCUUCGGACCUUGCGCGAUUGUAUGAGCCGAUGUCGGAUUAGCUAGUUGGCGGGGUAAAGGCCCACCAAGGCAACGAGGCGUAGCUGAUCGGAGAGGAUGGUAGGCAACACGGGAAAGGAGAAAAGGUCGAGACGACGACGGGAGGCAGAAGGAGGGAAGGGGCGGAAAAGGGGGAAAGCCUGACGGAGCAACGCCGCGUGAGUGAUGAAGGUCUUCGGAUCGUAAAACUCUGUUAUGAGGGAAGAACAGAUGUGUAAGUAACUGUGCACAUCGGGACGGUACCUAAUCAGAAAGCCACGGCUAACUACGUG